ACGGGACGGGAAAGUCUCCUACCUGGUCUGAAGCAGCACAGGAAGGCUGAGGGAAGAAGAACGAAGAACGGCUUUCUCUACCCACGCGCUGGAAGGCCGCCUGGUCACCACGCCCAUCCUUCUAACGCAAUUCCAGCCUUUUCCUCAAAUACGCAAACGAAACCUGCCGAGCCAGAGACUUCUAUUGCCCAAUUCCGUCUUGCGUAUGGGAAUAGCUGCAGACACGACCGACACUGGACGAAGUUGGCUCGAACUUCUGUCACAGCGAGAUCCACGGUGUCCGGAGGACCUUUGUAAAGCACGCUAGAGUUACGGCGGUUGGAUCAGUGAGCAUGAAACGAAGCGGUCCUUCCCACAGACGCGGAGAGAGUUACGUGGGUCGUAGGAUAACCUCCAGCUGCACGUCUUUAGUUGGUGAUCCUCUGUGGUGUGUGCAGGCUUUUCUCUGGCACUGAUGAAAUGAACACUGAUUAAAGAAGCUUCUAGCACCAGAAGAGAGUACUGCCCUGGAAAAUUAACAUUUGCAAUGGAAAAUGGUACUGCAUCUGUAGAAGUAACGCUUACAAUCAACGUCAGUAUUGGCUUUUAAUAGGCAGAUGACCAUUGGUGGAGAACAAAGGCUGUAUCCAAUGGGGAGCAAAGAUCCAGGAGAGUUGGCAACGGGUGCGCUAGCAACUAAUACAUCCCGUUUCAAAAUGCUUCUUCAUAAGCCACAUUCAAAGAGCAUCUCCAUACAGAAUUAUGUCAUUCCGUGCAUUGGUGAUCAUUCCAGUAUAUAUACUGAAGCAUUGGGGUAUUAAUUGUUUAAUUAUAAAAAGUUUGUGGGUAUUAGACUUAGUAUAAGAUAGCAUUUUUGCACUUUGCACUUUACAGUUUAAAAAAUCCAAAAAAUUUAUUAACAUUAUAAUUAAAAAUUGCAUUACUGUAAGCUUGAUUCUGUUAGGUCUCUUAGGACUGUGGUCCCUGGUUUGUAGUUUGGACCCGACAACUGACAAAAGGUUUGCAAAAGAUCACCCACCAACUUGUUCACAAUCUGUGUCUCCUUGGACCAUUACAAGUGGCACAAUUACAAUUGACAGUGCAGGAAAAGUAGUCUAUCAAACAUGUUCUGCUGCACUGCCCAUUCUACAAUAGCAUCCGAUCUCACUCUAUAGCCCCAAUCUUGUCAACUUUACAAGGAAGAUCCGAACAACAUUAUGUCUCCCUCCUUGCAAACUCUUCCAGGAGAUAACUAGCAAAGUUGCCAGAUUUUGCCUUCGGGCAUGUGGGAUACGCGAGUGGCUGACUGAGCCCCAAUAACUUACUUCCUCGCUGGAGGAAUGUAUCAUCUCUCUGUACUCCCCGCCCCCCGAACAACCUGUGCCCACAGUUCUGUCCUUGUCACACUAUAUGUGCCCACCCUAUUUUUACUUUUAUUGUUUUUAUUCUGCUCUCCUUUUACUCUCUGGAGCUGAUUCUGUAUCAAAAUAAAUUGAUUGAAGUGACACAGAAGGGUUAGAUGCCCUGAAAGAAGCAGUGACUGAGCCAUUAGAUAGGUAAGAAACUAUCACUGGAUCUAAAAGAUUGUGCAAAUUACUAGUAUCAAUCUCUCAUUAUUAUUCUCUUUGUGGGAUGGUACUGGCUGCUCAGCUUCAGGCAUGCUUUAAUGAAACUGAUUAUCUGUACGUAUUUUAUUUGGAUUUCAGGCCUUGUUUCGACAUAGAAACUGCCUUAGUCACUCUGGUUGCUGACCUGUAUUGGGAGAAAGAUGGGGAAUGCUAGUCUGUUGAUACUCCCAAAAUCUGUGCGUAGUUUUUGAUACCAUUAACCAUGGUAUGCUUCUGGCCAGGUUGGGAGUGGGAGGCACCAUGCUUCAGUUGGAGGCACCAUGCUUCAGUGGUUCCACUCCUACCUGGGGAAGAUUGCAAAAGCAUACACAUACUUCUGCACUCCACACAAUAAUGUCACUUCCAGAAGUGGUGUCAAUGUGCACAGGGCCUGGAGCACCUGUAACCAUUUACUCAGGCUGCUUGCCAGUUGGCCUGCCUCCUCCUAAUCAUCGGUGAUCAGUGGAGGGCAAACCAUUGAGAGUUUGCAUGCCACCGGUGGGCACCUUCCAACCCUAGUCACUGUGCAGAGGCAGGCAAUGGCAAACCACUUCUGAACAUCUCUUGCAGUAGCUGACCAACUCCAGAUCUUCUUGGAAAAUGCUAGUGCACUAGACCCUUUCCAGUCUGGAUUCAGACCAGGGCAUGGGACAGAGACAGCACUAGUAGUGUUAGUGGACGAUCUCUAUCCAAAUAUAGACAAAGGUCAUGCCUCCUUAUUGCUCCUCCUAGAUCUGUCUGCAGCCUUUGACACAGUAGACCAUGCCAUCCUGUUGAGGCAUUUAGAGACAGAAGUGGGCAUCGAAGAAUGUGCCUUGGACUGGCUUCAAUAAUUUCUCACGGGAUGGACUCAAAGGGUUGCCAUCAAAAAUCAGUAUCUCCAGAAUGGGAACUAUCUUGUGGGGUUCCUUAUAUCCCAUGUUGUUCAACAUAAAGCCUUUAGGAGACUUCAUUCACAGGUAUGGAGUUGGAUGUCACCAAUAUGCUGAUGACACCCAACUCUAUAUCUCACUAUCCUGGUCCCCACAGGAGGCAGUAGAAAUCUUGGAUCACUGCCUGACAGCUGUGGUGACAUAGCUGAAAAUGAACAAAUUGAAAUUGAACCCAGACAAGACCGAAGUGAUGCUUGUUGGGAAGGCAGAGAUCUUGAAGGACAUUGUACUCCCCACUUUCAAUGGAGUUCAUCUGACCCUUGCAGACUCAGUUAAGAGCCUAGGGGUUAUACUGGAUCCAGUGCUACUACUAGAAAAACAAGUUAAGGCAGCUGCAAAAAAUGCUUUUUACAACCUCACUCUAGCCUGGAAGAUGGCUUCUUAACCUCAACAUGGCCAACCUGGCCACCUGGAUCCAUGCUAUGGUAACAUCAAGACUUGAAUAUUGUAAUGCACUAUACAUAGGUUUCCCAUCUAAGUAAACUAAGAGACUCCAACUGGUGCAAAAUGCUGUGGGGCAACUGUAAUCAGGAGCAAGCGGGAGCAGCAGCAUCACCCUCAUUCUGCAGUCACUCCAUUGGCUACCUAUCAGCUACCGUGCUCAGUUCAAGGUAUUGGUUAUCAUAUACAAAGCUCUUCACAGCCUUGGUCCAGCAUACCUAAGGGACUGCCUCCCUCCUAUGUUCCUCCAUGUCAACUUCGCUCAUCUGAACAGGGUCUCCUGCAGGUGCCACCAUGCACAUGGGCGAAAUCAGCAGCAGCCUGUACAAGGGCUUUCUCUGUGGUGGGUCUUACUCUGUAGAACAGCCUGCCUGAGGAGAUCAGGAGAGCCCCCACUCUCCUAGCUUUCCACAAACAAUGCAAAACUGAAUUAUUUAUAAAGGCUUUUUACUCAGAUAGGGACUGUAUUGUAGGGAGGAAGUCUCAGAUGCUUCGCUAAUAAGUUAGGGACCUUAGACUUCACCACUAUGUUACCUUACAUACUAUCUGUUGCUUUAAAUAUGUGCUCCUAUGAUCCAUCUGUGCUUCAUGUUGUCUAAUAUCAGUCCUAAAAUUGCUUAUGUUUUGUUUCAGCAUUUCUUCAACUCUGUAUUGGAUGUCUUUGUAAACUUGUAUUUAUUUACCCAUGAUAUUGUUUAUGGAAAUGUCCUUGAUACUGACUGCACUAAUCUCACACUAUAUAAUCCGCCUUGAUUCUCAGUGAGAAAUAAAUAAAUAAAAACCAUAUGGGGUUGCCAUAAGUUGGCUGUGACUUGACACCACAAUACAUAUACAUAUUUCUAUAUAUCUAUAUCUCUCUAUAGUUAUAUUUAUAUCACACAGAGUAAAAAUGUAGCCUGAAUUUAUAAAAUGGGUAAUUUGUUUACCGUAUAUUUAUGAGCUCUCAUGGCAUCAUUCUUUGUGAAAUGAGUACUCUGCGAUGGCCUGUCUAAUUUUCUUUCAUGCUGAGGAGUAAGCUGUUGAGAUGAUUAACACUUUGUGAGACCCUAGGUACAUCCCUAGUACAUGGCUUGUAUUUAAAAUGCUCUAAUAUUAAGUAUGUUACUAUGGAAGCAAAUUAUGUGCAUUUCACAGUAAGGUGAAACUCCCCCCUUCCCAGUAUCUAGUAGCCCACUAUUUCUGUAUGCUAUAACCAUUUCAGUAAGAGAAGUUGAUUAUCUUGGGUCCAGUUGCUAGUACACUCAGCAAGGGAUAGUUUUUAUUUAUUUCACUAUAUUUGAUAAUUGCUC